rnacentral:sRNA from 1 species
CCAUGGACUCGGGAACCGAGGAGUACGAGCUCAACGGCGGCCUGCCUCCGGGCACACCCGGCUCCCCGGACGCCUCGCCCGCAGGUUGAAGGUUCCUGGGGCCACAUCUGGGCCAAGAGGCAUGGUCCUUGGAGCCGGCCCGCGGGGGCUGGAGGCACGGGCCCAUCAACGUGAACCAUUACGCCAACAAGAAGAGCGCAGCCGAGAGCAUGCUGGACAUCGCGCUGCUGAUGGCCAACGCGUCCCAGCUGAAGGCCGUCGUGGAACAGGGCCCCAGCUUCGCCUUCUAUGUGCCCCUGGUGGUCCUCAUCUCCAUCUCCCUUGUGCUGCAGAUCGGCGUGGGGGUGCUGCUCAUCUUCCUUGUCAAGUACGACCUUAACAACCCGGCCAAGCACGCCAAGCUGGACUUCCUCAACAACCUGGCCACGGGCCUGGUGUUCAUCAUCGUGGUAGUCAACAUCUUCAUCACGGCCUUCGGGGUCCAGAAGCCCUUGAUGGACAUGGCACCCCAGCAGUAGGACACCCAGGACCCUGGAUGCUGCCUGCCCUGCAACUCAGCUGCCCGACCCCAGGAGUCGCCAUACCUGUGAGGUGUCCACCUCCCUGCACAUGGCACUACCCAGACUGCCAGAGCCCAGGCUGGCCUCAUCUGCACCAUGUCCCCGGACCAGCCCUUGCUCUGACUGUGGCCAAGCACCACGCAGGAGGCCACUCUUGUCUCUCAGCAGCUGUUCCCAGGAGGCAGCUCCCUCCUGGCACAUGGGGGCUGGCCACAAUAACCCAGAGGGUCAGAACUGGACAGCUGCAGAGACCUGUGCCCAGAGAAGGGUCUCAACCCACUCAAGGACACACAGCAGGUCC